GGCCUACGGGGGGCAGCAGUGGGGGAUAUUGGACAAUGGGGGAAACCCUGAUCCAGCGAUGCCGCGUGAGGGAAGAAGGUUUUCGGAUUGUAAACCUCUGUGGAGGGGGACGAUAAUGACGGUACCCCUUUAGGAAGCCACGGCUAACUACGUGUCAGCAGCCGCGGUAAUACGUAGGUGGCGAGCGUUGUCCGGAAUUACUGGGUGUAAAGGGAGUGUAGGCGGGAAAGCAAGUCAGAAGUGAAAGCCCGUGGCUUAACCGCGGAACGGCUUUGGAAACUGGGGAACUGGAGUGCUGGAGAGGG
rnacentral:rRNA from 1 species